AGUGAACGCUGGCGGUAGGCCUAACACAUGCAAGUCGAACGGCAGCACAGUAAGAGCUUGCUCUUACGGGUGGCGAGUGGCGGACGGGUGAGGAAUACAUCGGAAUCUACUUUUUCGUGGGGGAUAACGUAGGGAAACUUACGCUAAUACCGCAUACGACCUACGGGUGAAAGCAGGGGAUCUUCGGACCUUGCGCGAUUGAAUGAGCCGAUGUCGGAUUAGCUAGUUGGCGGGGUAAAGGCCCACCAAGGCGACGAUCCGUAGCUGGUCUGAGAGGAUGAUCAGCCACACUGGAACUGAGACACGGUCCAGGCUCCUACGGGAGGCAGCAGUGGGGAAUAUUGGACAAUGGGCGCAAGCCUGAUCCAGCCAUACCGCGUGGGUGAAGAAGGCCUUCGGGUUGUAAAGCCCUUUUGUUGGGAAAGAAAAGCAGCAGGUUAAUACCCCGCUGUUCUGACGGUACCCAAAGAAUAAGUACCGGCUAACUUCGUG
rnacentral:rRNA from 1 species